rnacentral:tRNA from 1 species
GCCCGGAUGGCGGAACAGGUAGACGCGUUGGUCUCAAAAACCAAUGGGCGCAAGCCCGUGCCGGUUCGAUUCCGGCUCCGGGUA